ensembl:lncRNA
GUGGAGCACUAGCAAGUCUCUACCCGUCCUUUUAACAGACAGCAGAGCCAGUGUCCCCUGAUCUACCCAGCAGGUGGAGCACUAGCAGGUCUCUACCCAUCCUUUUAACAGACAGCAGAGCCAGUGUCCCCUGAUCUACCCAGCAGGUGGAGCACUAGCAAGUCUCUACCCAUCUUUUUAACAGACAGCAGAGCCAGUGUCCCCUGAUCUACCCAGCAGGUGGAGCACUAGCAAGUCUCUACCCAUCCUUUUAACAGACAGCAGAGCCAGUGUCCCCUGAUCUACCCAGCAGGUGGAGCACUAGCAAGUCUCUACCCGUCCUUUUAACAGACAGCAGAGCCAGUGUCCCCUGAUCUACCCAGCAGGUGGAGCACUAGCAAGUCUCUACCCAUCCUUUUAACAGACAGCAGAGCCAGUGUCCCCUGAUCUACCCAGCAGGUGGAGCACUAGCAAGUCUCUACCCAUCUUUUAACAGACAGCAGAGCCAGUGUCCCCUGAUCUACCCAGCAGGUGGAGCACUAGCAAGUCUCUACCCGUCCUUUUAACAGACAGCAGAGCCAGUGUCCCCUGAUCUACCCAGCAGGUGGAGCACUAGCAAGUCUCUACCCAUCCUUUUAACAGACAGCAGAGCCAGUGUCCCCUGAUCUACCCAGCAGGUGGAGCAC